CCUACGGGUGGCAGCAGUGAGGAAUAUUGGUCAAUGGUCGGGAGACUGAACCAGCCAAGCCGCGUGAGGGAUGAAGGUACAGAGUAUCGUAAACCUCUUUUGUCAGGGAACAAAGGCGGGGACGCGUCCCCGGAUGAGUGUACCUGAAGAAAAAGCAUCGGCUAACUCCGUGCCAGCAGCCGCGGUAAUACGGAGGAUGCGAGCGUUAUCCGGAUUUAUUGGGUUUAAGGGGUGCGCAGGCGGUCUGUUAAGUCAGCGGUCAAAGCCCGGGGCCCAACCCGGGCCCGCCGUUGAAACUGGCAGUCUCGAGUUGGAGAGAAGUAUGCGGAAUGCGCGGUGUAGCGGUGAAAUGCAUAGAUAUCGCGCAGAACUCCGAUUGCGAAGGCAGCAUGCCGGCUCCACACUGACGCUGAGGCACGAAAGCGCGGGUAUCGAACAGGAUUAUUUA
rnacentral:rRNA from 1 species